AGCUCCACUGCGCAUGUCUCAGCCAGACCAUGACGGAGACGGCUGGUGUGCUGCUCACCCUAACACACAAGAGCACACGUUUGCUGUCCUGAGACCCUCAGGGGACCACCAAGGAAGAGGCCAGACUCCAGUGGGCGUCUCUCAGGCAGAGCAUCAUGGAGACGGCUGGAGUGCUCACCCACCUGACACA